rnacentral:lncRNA from 1 species
GUGGAUCUGGGGCAAAUUGUUUGACCGGAUCGAAACUACUCAGACUGAGGUUGAGUCCGAACCAGUGCACUUGUGGAGUGCUGUCCGGUAAGUUGCUGAGGCUUAUUGUGAACGAAAGAGGAGUCGAGGUCGAUCCUGCUAAAAAAAAAAAAAAAGAAAAAAAGAAAAAACAAUACUAGAAACGCCUGAACCAAAAAAAAAAAAGAAAUCAAAUGGUCAGUUGGAAUGAUGACUGCCAAGGGGCAUGGAAAAAUGAAAAAAGAAUAAGUUGCAGGAACCUCCGAUUCUAAUGCCUCCCGUGUGUCGCAAC